UUAAAGUCCAAUCCUCUGUGCCUUUUU
rnacentral:piRNA from 1 species